rnacentral:rRNA from 1 species
GACGAACGCUGGCGGCGUGCCUAAUACAUGCAAGUAGAACGCUGAAGAGAGGAGCUUGCUCUUCUUGGACGAGUUGCGAACGGGUGAGUAACGCGUAGGUAACCUGCCUUGUAGCGGGGGAUAACUAUUGGAAACGAUAGCUAAUACCGCAUAACAAUAGGUGACACAUGUCAUUUAUUUGAAAGGGGCAAUUGCUCCACUACAAGAUGGACCUGCGUUGUAUUAGCUAGUAGGUGAGGUAACGGCUCACCUAGGCGACGAUACAUAGCCGACCUGAGAGGGUGAUCGGCCACACUGGGACUGAGACACGGCCCAGACUCCUACGGGAGGCAGCAGUAGGGAAUCUUCGGCAAUGGGGGCAACCCUGACCGAGCAACGCCGCGUGAGUGAAGAAGGUUUUCGGAUCGUAAAGCUCUGUUGUAAGUCAAGAACGAGUGUGAGAGUGGAAAGUUCACACUGUGACGGUAGCUUACCAGAAAGGGACGGCUAACUACGUGCCAGCAGCCGCGGUAAUACGUAGGUCCCGAGCGUUGUCCGGAUUUAUUGGGCGUAAAGCGAGCGCAGGCGGUUUGAUAAGUCUGAAGUUAAAGGCUGUGGCUCAACCAUAGUUCGCUUUGGAAACUGUCAAACUUGAGUGCAGAAGGGGAGAGUGGAAUUCCAUGUGUAGCGGUGAAAUGCGUAGAUAUAUGGAGGAACACCGGUGGCGAAAGCGGCUCUCUGGUCUGUAACUGACGCUGAGGCUCGAAAGCGUGGGGAGCGAACAGG